rnacentral:rRNA from 1 species
AUUGAACGCUGGCGGCAGGCCUAACACAUGCAAGUCGAGCGAGCGGCGGACGGGUGAGUAAUGUCUGGGAAACCGCCUGAUGGAGGGGGAUAACUACUGGAAAAGGUAGCUAAUACCGCAUACCCUCAGAUGUGCCCAGAUGGGAUUAGCGAGUAGGUGGGGUAACGGCUCACCUAGGCGACGAUCCCUAGCCGGUCUGAGAGGCUGACCAGCCACACUGGAACUGAGACACGGUCAAGACGCCUACGGAGGGCAGCGUUGGGGAAUAUUGCACAAUGGGCGCAAGCCUGAGGCAGCCAUGCCGCGUGUAUGAAGAAGGCCUUCGGGUUGGAAAGUACUUUCAGCGGGGAGGCGUUACCCGCAGAAGAAGCACCGGCUAACUCCGUGCCAGCAGCCGCGGUAAUUC